CGGGAAUGAGCUUUUUAAAGACAGAACACUUUUCACCCUCCCACAGAGCUUCCUCAGGUCCUCCCCCCUCAGUCAGUCGGCUACAAACCCCUGAAGGUGUAUUCUUCAGUCCUUUGUUCUCACUAAGGGUUUCUGUUUCUGUUUUGAGCGAGAAGACGAGUGAAGCUAAAGACUAGAGCUCUUUGGACAUGUCCGCUGCGGAGAGAAGAGGAGCCCCCCCCCCUCGGCGGGAACACCGAGCUUCCAUUAAUCAGGAUUCCAAGUAUCCGCGGAGGCUUCUGGCUCGUCCGCGACACCCGGCCGCCGCGAGCCCCCGGAGGCCCGACGGCCUCCGCCGCGCAUGCCACGCCGACAGGAGCCCAGUAUACGUGUCUUUUGUCAGCAAGGCCACCUUGUGGGAACGAGGACUCUGCCGCCAAACCGCCCACAAACGUCCAAACCACGGUCCCUUAUUGUGUCCACGGUUCUUGUCUCACAUGACCGCCCGCCCCGAGGACCUCAGGCCUCCUUGUGUCCCGAGCUCCGGGUCCAGACCGCUGCCCCCCCCUCGGGAGAAGACGGCGGUAACGCACGCCCUCGCUGCACCGAAGACACAAACGCUGGACGGUUUCUUCCGUCUCCAUCCAGACGGGAGAAGGAAAAGUGCGCCGAUGGCGGGAAGGCGCUCUGCUGCUGUUGUUGUUCCCUGUCCUCCACCCUCCGCUGCCCCACCGCCACGCACCGCCAACCCAACACCGCCCCGCCAAAACUCCCCGCACGGCGACUUCGAGAGGCGGCGAAGAAGCCGGUCGGCAUCUCCCUGCGACGAGCCACCUGCCCCGGGGGGGGGCGUUGAAGUCCGUGAGACGGCUCCGCGACCCGCCGCCGCGUCCCCCCACCCGGGCUGCCGGCUGCCUGCGGAGCCGAAUGGAUCGGAAGCGCCACCGCCGCCGGCGGCCUCCUCCUCCUCCUCCAUCUCACACGGGUCGCUCUCAGAUUUCAGCCGCCCACCGUCCAGCCGGUUCAGCCGCAGCACCGACCUCGCCAGCGGCCGGAGCAGCGUCCUGUCCGGCGAUCUCGGAGACUCGGAGCCAGGAGGCGGCGUUUGCUCCUCACCGCUCCAGCCUCGCCCGGUGACGGGGUCACCCUCGGCUCCUCGCCCUCCGCCGGCAUCCCACCCUCGCCAACCAUCCGCCGAUGCUUCGGCCACCCCUCUCCUCUACGAACCGCUAUUUGGGCAAACCCGACCCCUCUCGCCGCCGUCGACGUCAGGUGGGCUUCGUCAAUCAGAUAACCCUCCGAGCAGGAGCGAAAGCCCCGAUGCGACAAAGUAUCUCCAACCAGUUCCAUCAGAAGCUCCUGGUCCCCACCCAUCCAUGGCCUCCGACCGCGGCCUCGUCGGCCUGGCUUUCCCCUCCGCCACCUGGUCCUCCUGCCCGAGUCCGCAGAGGACCACUCCCCGCUCCUCGGGGUCAGGACCGGCUCCGACCCCUCCUGCGUCGGCGCCCCGUCUGGAGUCUCGUCGCUGGUCCCCGCUGCCUCCCAUCUCCCCUGUCGGAGGACGCUGUGGCACCGCAGCAUCCCGCUACUCCGAGCUCAGCUGCACUCAGUCCCGCGCGUUCGAUGAGCUGGAGGCCAUCGCCCCUCGCUCGCUGUCCUCCCCGUCUCUGGACCGGCUGUCGGACUCCUCCGGGUGCCCUUCACCUGACACAGAGCUGUCUCCGGGCCUGGCGGCGCUGACGGUGGGCUGUGACUCCGGGACCCUGGGCUCUCUGUCCCGGGUGCAGCUGCUCCUCCUGGACCGGCCGCAGCCCGACACCCGGCCGGGUCUGUUCGGCCCGGAAGAGGAGCUCUCGCCGGUGCAAGACUGGCCUCGUCUCGCGAUGCAACAUGAAGGUACCGUGCACAAAUAGACGUUUGAAUGAAAGAGAAGUCCCACAGCAUCAAAUCAAGCAACAGAUUUCACCGAAACACAAUUAAACCCGUUGAAUGGGGCUCCGACAUCCCGACCCGCACACUCCGCUCUGCAUCUCCCUCGCUGAGAGCAAAACACUCCACCAGAUCACGACUCUCCUGAAUGGUGCAACGAGCUCUCAGAAGACACCAGGACCUGCUGAGGGCCUUCACAUCUUCAGACUAGACUCUUUGGGGUUUGCAUCCUUAUGGUUGAAAUGCACUCAUUGUGGCGUGAGGCCCCGCACAGCUGGCGGCGUCUCUGAAAGGUGUGACUCCGCAGGGAAAGUCCACGAAAACAAAUCGGAGGGGUCCGAAGACGGUUUCUGGCUCUCCGUCUUCGUGGAUCAUCGACCCGGAGUCCAUCGCUCGCCAUGUUCAGAUCCGCCCUCUCCCCUUGCGUGUCCGAUCUCGGUUCCAGCGGAGGGGAAGGGGGCCCCGCCGAGGAGGAGGAGGAGGCCAAUUAUCCGGGAUGGGGGCAACAAGUCGAAUCCUCAGCCGCAGGACGGAGGCCCGCGAGCCUUGAUGGCAGAAGUGAGGAGAGGAAGCGGAGGAUGGAGGAGAGGAAAACAAAGGUGCUGAGCUUGCUCUCCAAGCUGCAGGACGACGGGCCGCGGCAGCCAAAGGGCCACCGGAGCUGCUCCAACUUCCAGGACUUUGACUUUUUGGCAAAGUAUUGCAUUUUCAGUCAGGAGAAGCUGGCCGAGUACAAAAGGGCUUUUGAAGCAGAGGACGCUGAUGAUGACGGCUACAUAUCCUGCCUUCAGGCUCUGCUCGCGCUCAAGAGCGUCAUCCCCGCGGAGCGGCUGUCCGACGAAGAAGAAAUCUACGUCUACAGGAUCUUAGAGAUGGUGGACUUCAGCGUGACAGAUGGGCUGGUGGACCUCCGGCUCUUUGCUGUGAUUGCGAGCCUGGCGCAGAAAGUGGCGGCCAUGGAUGAGUUCAUGCGAUCGCUAAUCACCGACAUGGACUUCCGCUCGUUAGAAGUGAGGCUCUUCAAAGCGAAGCAACUGUUCCUGUUCCUCAUGGAGGAGCAGCAAGGAGACGCCGGAGCCCAGCGGGGCUCCAUCAGCGCGGAGCAGCUCCUUCUGGAGCUGAAGGCCGGGGGCAUCCACCUGGAGCAGGAGGCGGCCGUGCGGCUGGAGCUGCAGCGCAUCCCCCCCCUGGACCUGCUGGACUUCCUGGCCUACCUGCCGCUCUUCAUGCUCAUUCACAAGUCGGUCAUCGCCAACCCUCUCAAUGACUCCGGCGACCUCUGACCUCGGCCCUUGGCACCUGGCGAAGCAGCGUCACUGCCGUUAAAUCCACCAACACGCAGGAACCCUUCAUUUAAUUUGUUUUGUUUUUACAUUACUAGUAAAGAUAAGUCUGGUUAUUAGCUAUUUAGUUAGCCUGGAAUGCUAACGUGCAGUUAGCUGCUAACUGCCAGCUCAGCACGUUGAGCGUUAUGAAACUUUUGCAACUUCUUUUCACAACCACUUGAUGUUUGUCUCAUUGAUUAAUAUAUUGUUCUGUGGUUCCUGUUAACGUUUCAUGGAGCUGUGAAGUGCUGUCUAUGGUCCUGAAAUGUUUCCGUAGAUGUUGCAGCCGUUUGAAAAAGCUUUAAACGCAUCAAAAAGUUGCAUUAAAUAAAAGCACCUCCAAACGGGGCGGGGCUCUCUUCUUUGGGGGGCGGGGCUCUCCUCUUCAGGGGGCGGGACUCACCUUAAAACGUUCAGAUGCAUCUGGGUGUUCUGGAGAAAACAACAUGUGAAACGCUGCGACUGCCGUGGUCUUCUAUCCAACUUAAUCAACACUGAUGAAUGAAACUCAAUGAGAUAUUCAACCAAUGAACUUUGAGCCAUUGUUUUGCCUCAGCUUUGCCAAUUAGAUAAGGCCCGUGUUCUCCUGAGGCUCAUGCACGCUCCACAGGCCGCCACAGAGGAGAAGGUAAUGGACUGUGACAGGGCAACAGACCCGGACUGCUAAAAUCCCAACAAACUAGAGAAAGAAUUUAUUCUAAAUAUUCUAAUCAAGUAUGGAUCACAAAACACUGAACUUAAAGGAGUCUUUAUGUUUUCAUUUUAGUAACUAAAAACAUUUAUUUAAGCACACUGAUUGGGAGGAAGACAUUCUCCAAAUACAAUCUCUCUCUGGAUUCCUCCUGUCUUGUCCUUCAAAAAAAUGAUUCCACAAAGUUUGAUACAAAUCUACUUUGUUAUAUUUAACAACAGAACAGAAGGAAUCCAGUAUAUAAUAUAAAUGACAUACUAAAAGUCUGUGGUUGUGUAUUUGGGCAUAGACGUUGUUGUUCGCAAUCGUUUUACCUCUUCUUUUAUUGGACAUUAUUUGGCAAGUUGUCUUUUAUUUGUUUAUCCAAAUCAAAUUUAGGAAUAAAAAAUGCUGACGAGACACGUUUUGUAGUUGAAGUUGUUACAUGUUUUAUAUUCACAUUUAGAAGUGAAGUCUUACAUUUUGAGUUUUUCAUAAUUCUGUUUCAAAUGAAAAAUAAACUUUUGUCUCUUCUG
ensembl:lncRNA